UAAGACAGAGGGUGCAAACGUUGUUCGGAAUUACUGGGCGUAAAGCGUGCGCAGGCGGCCUUGCAAGUCGGGCGUGAAAUCCCACGGCUCAACCGUGGAAGUGCACUCGAAACUGCUCGGCUAGAGUCUUGGAGAGGAAGGCGGAAUGCUUGGUGUAGAGGUGAAAUUCGUAGAUAUCAAGCGGAACACCGGUGGCGAAGGCGGCCUUCUGGACAAUGACUGACGCUAAAACACGAAAGCGUGGGGAGCAAACAGGAUUAGAUACCCUGGUAGUCCACGCCGUAAACGAUGAGUGCUAGGUGUCACGGGCUUUGACCCUCGUGGUGCCGAAGCUAACGCGUUAAGCACUCCGCCUGGGGAGUACGGCCGCAAGGCUA
rnacentral:rRNA from 1 species